rnacentral:rRNA from 1 species
UCCGUAGGUGAACCUGCGGAAGGAUCAUUAUUGAAAACAAGGGUGUUCAAUUUAACUUGAAACCCAAACUUCUCAAUUCUAACUUUGUGCAUCUGUAUUAAUGGCGAGAGAACUUCGGUUCUUGAGCCUUCACUUUAUAAACACUAGUCUAUGAAUGUAAAUUUUUUAUAACAAAUAAAAACUUUCAACAACGGAUCUCUUGGCUCUCGCAUCGAUGAAGAACGCAGCGAAAUGCGAUACGUAAUGUGAAUUGCAGAAUUCAGUGAAUCAUCGAAUCUUUGAACGCAUCUUGCGCUCUCUGGUAUUCCGGAGAGCAUGUCUGUUUGAGUGUCAUGAAUUCUUCAACCCAAUCUUUUCUUGUAAUCGAUUGGUGUUUGGAUUCUGAGCGUUGCUGGCUUUAUUGCUUAGCUCGUUCGUAAUACAUUAGCAUCCCUAAUACAAGUUUGGAUUGACUUGGCGUAAUAGACUAUUCGCUAAGGAUUCGGUGGAAACAUCGAGCCAACUUUACUAAGGAAGCUCCUAAUUUUAAAAGUCUACCUUUUGAUUAGAUCUCAAAUCAGGCAGGAUUACCCGCUGAACUUAAGCAUAUCAAUAAGCGGAGGAAAAG